ensembl:lncRNA
CCCUCUACAUCCUCCUUACCAGGUGGUGUCUUGGUCACCAACUGUCUACUUACCCUUGCUGAGAAACCCUCACAAAAGCUUCCAGUGGUCCUGCGAAAUGAAAGUAAGCAUGACAUAGUUAUCCCUGCGAAAAGUGUCAUUGCUGAAAUGCAUGCUAUUCAAGAGAUCAUACCAAACAGUCAGACCACAGAGCAGUCUAAACAGACUCCCAGCUCAAACCCUGCUGAGCUUAACCUUAACUUUGCUGAUUCUCCAGUCCCUGCUGAAUGGAAAGAACGAAUCACACAAAAGUUAAGUGCUAUGUCGGAGGUUUUCGCACUACACGAUACAGACUUUGGUUGCACUAACAAAGUAAAGCACCAAAUCAAACUGAGCGAUGAAACCCCCUUUAAACACAGACCUCGCCCCGUACGACCACAAGAUCUUGAUGCCGUACGGAGGCAUUUGCUGGAGCUAAGCGAUGCAGGUGUCAUUCGUGAAUCCGAGUCGCCAUUUUCCUCACCGAUAGUGGUGGUAAGGAAGAAAAACGGAGACGUAAGACUUUGUGUAGAUUACCGCAAGUUGAAUCUGAACACCAUCAAAGACGCCUACGCGCUUCCUAAUUUGGAAGAAGCGUUCUCCGCCUUUGACAGGAUCGAAGUGGUUCUCGGUUCUUGACCUCAAAAGCGGGUACUACCAGAUCGAAGUGGAUGAGGCAGAUAAGCACAAAACAGCCUUCGUAUGUCCGAUGGGGUUCUUCGAGUUCAACAGGAUGCCCCAAGGCAUAACAAACGCUCCCAGCACAUUUCAAAGGCUGAUGGAGAAAUGUAUGGGCGACAUCAACCUUAAGGAAGUCCUGGUCUACCUAGACGACCUUAUAGUUUACUCGAAACCCUCGAACAACAUGAGACCCGCCUUCUCCACGUGCUUAAUCGUCUCAAAGAAUACGGUCUGAAGCUAUCGCCUGAAAAAUGUAUGUUUUUUCAGACGUCAGUUCGGUACUUAGGGCACAUUGUCUCCCAAAACGGUGUAGAAACAGACCCCGAAAAAGUAGCAGCGUUAAAAACAUGGCCAAGUCCCAAGAACUUGAAAGAACUCCGCUCCUUCUUAGGGUUUGCGGGGUAUUACAGACGGUUUAUUAAGGACUUUUCUAAGAUCGUAAAACCCCUUACCAACCUAACUGCUGGAUACCCCCCACUGCGGAAAAGCAAUGGCUCUAAGUCCAACUACAUCCAAUACUUUCAGCCAAAAGCUCCUUUUGGGGAGAGAUGGACAGAGAGUUGUCAGAAAGCGUUUGAGGCGAUUAUAGACAAACUGACUUCUGCCCCAAUUUUAGGCUUUGCCAACCCCAAGUUGCCUUAUGUAUUACACACAGAUGCAAGCACAACUGGGUUAGGGGCAGCUCUUUAUCAAGAGCAGGAGGG